rnacentral:lncRNA from 1 species
CUUCGGCCCGGGACGGACCAUCGGCCGCCCUGUCGGGGGAGUCCGGACGCACAAAGUUUCCAAAAAGUUCUGCCAGUCGCUGCCGCACCCCGCUCGGGGCAAAGCUUAACUUAGCAAAGCAUGGCUCUUCUUCCUGAAUGGACCCAAGCAGACUGUUGCUUGACUUAUUACUGAAGCUGCACAUCACCCAGAAGCAAGAAUUCAUCACUAAAGGGAGCGCCACAUACUUCAAGAAGUAGUUAAACCUGCCUUACCCUCCUCCAACCCUCCAGCACUGUCGGGUGCUCUGCCUAGUGCCUAGCUCAGAGGAUGCUAAGUGGAGCAACACAAUGGACAGACUUAUUGACAGUAGCGCAGUGUGAUGAGAAUGGUAAGAAGAAGAGAUAUUUAGGAAGACAGAUCUUCAAAUAUGCGGCGCUUUGGGAGUCAUGAUGAUGAGUAUGCAGUAUGUGAACCAGGAAUGGCUUCUUCAGUGUGUCUUUUAGCUCCCAGUGGCUGCCUCUCUCCCUAGAUUCCAAACUCGGUGUUACCAGUAUGCAGUCUCAUUGCUUCCUUAUGGCAGGACACAGAGUAAUUAAAUACAUGUUUUUAUAUUAUAUUUCCUUAUUAUAUUCUACUUUUUUCCCUUUACCACAGUGUACAUUAUUUUUAUCUUUACUAGAUCAAAAAAGUCAUACCUUCUUUAAAAAUAAAAUGUGAUGGUGAC